GAUGAACGCUGGCGGCGUGCCUAAUACAUGCAAGUCGAGCGAACAGACGAGGAGCUUGCUCCUCUGACGUUAGCGGCGGACGGGUGAGUAACACGUGGAUAACCUACCUAUGAGACUGGGAUAACUUCGGGAAACCGGAGAUAAUACCGGAUAAUAUAUUGAACCGCAUGGUUCAAUAGUGAAAGACGGAUUUGCUGUCACUUAUAGAUGGAUCCGCGCCGCAUUAGCUAGUUGGUAAGGUAACGGCUUACCAAGGCGACGAUGCGUAGCCGACCUGAGAGGGUGAUCGGCCACACUGGAACUGAGACACGGUCCAGACUCCUACGGGAGGCAGCAGUAGGGAAUCUUCCGCAAUGGGCGAAAGCCUGACGGAGCAACGCCGCGUGAGUGAUGAAGGUCUUCGGAUCGUAAAACUCUGUUAUUAGGGAAGAACAAAUGUGUAAGUAACUAUGCACGUCUUGACGGUACCUAAUCAGAAAGCCACGGCUAACUACGUG
rnacentral:rRNA from 1 species